GCGCCCGUAGCUCAGCUGGAUAGAGUAUCGGCCUCCGAAGCCGAGGGUCGGACGUUCAAAUCGUCUCGGGCGCGCCA
rnacentral:tRNA from 1 species